rnacentral:rRNA from 1 species
CUACGGGAUGCACCAGGCGCGAAAACUUUACAAUGCAGGAAACUGUGAUAAGGGAACCCCGAGUGCCCGUACACGCGGGCUGUCUGGGUGUUUAAAAUGCACCCAAAGAAAGGGCCGGGCAAGACCGGUGCCAGCCGCCGCGGUAAUACCGGCGGCUCGAGUGGUGACCACUUUUAUUGGGCUUAAAGCGUUCGUAGCUGGACUGUUAAGUCCCUUGGGAAAUCCGCCGGCUCAACCGGCGGGCGUCUAAGGGAUACUGGCAGUCUAGGGACCGGGAGAGGUAAGAGGUACUCCGGGGGUAGGAGUGAAAUCCUGUAAUCCCCGGGGGACCACCUGUGGCGAAGGCGUCUUACCAGAACGGCUCCGACAGUGAGGAACGAAAGCUGGGGGAGCGAACCGGAUUAGAUACCCCAGUAGUC